rnacentral:rRNA from 1 species
UACGAACGGUCCAAACGUUAUUCGGAAUCACUGGGCUUAAAGCGUCCGUAGGCGGCUCGGAAAGUAGGGUGUGAAAUCCCACGGCUCAACCGUGGAAUUGCGCUCUAAACUAUCGAGCUAGAGGGAGAUAGAGGUGAGCGGAACUGAUGGUGGAGCGGUGAAAUGCGUUGAUAUCAUCAGGAACACCGGAGGCGAAGGCGGCGCGCUGGACCUCUUCUGACGCUGAGGCGCGAAAGCCAGGGGAGCAAACGGG